CAGGGGGGUAUCUUGCCCAAAGGGGGGAACCCUGACCCAACGCCGCCGCGUGCGGCAAGAAAGCCUUCGGGUGGUAAACCGCUUUCGGGAGGGACAAAGCCACUCGGGUUAAUACCCCAAAGGGGUGACGGUACCUCCAGAAGAAGCCCCGCCUAAUUAUGUGCCACCAGACGCGGUAAUACGUAGGGGGCAAGCGUUGUCCGGAUUUAUUGGGCGUAAAGAGCGUGUACGCGGCCUGCUAAGUCUGUUGUGAAAACUCGAGGCUCACCCCCGGGAUGCCGCUGGAAACCGUCGGGCUAGAGUCCGGAAGAGGGGAGUGGAAUUCCCGGUGUAGCGGUGAAAUGCGCAGAUAUCGGGAGGAACACCCGUGGCGAAGGCAGUUCUCUGGGGCGGUACUGACCCUGAGCCCCGAAAG
rnacentral:rRNA from 1 species